GCUCCAUUAGCCGCAGAUGCCAACCAUGAGCGACGAAGGAGAGAAGACUUGCCCCCUCUGUGCUGAGGAGAUGGAUUUAACUGAUCAGCAGUUGAAGCCUUGCAAGUGUGGCUAUGAGAUUUGUGUUUGGUGUUGGCAUCAUAUUAUGGAUAUGGCUGAGAAAGAUGAGACUGAAGGGCGCUGUCCAGCAUGUCGUACUGCUUAUAACAAAGAAAAGAUUGUUGGAACCACUGCAAAAUGUGAAAGAUUGGUGUCAGAGAUGAGUGUGGAGAAAAAGGUAAAGUCACAGAAGGGAAAGAGCAAAGGCUUGGAAGGACGGAAGCAACUUGGCAGUGUACGAGUCAUUCAGAGGAAUCUUGUGUAUGUUGUGGGUCUGCCACUGAAUUUUGCCGAUGAUGAUCUACUUCAGCGCCGAGAAUAUUUUGGUCAGUAUGGGAAGGUGCUGAAGGUGUCAAUAUCUCGAACAGCGACUGGGACUAUACAACAGUUUGCAAAUAGUACAUGCAGUGUAUAUAUAACAUAUUCAAAGGAGGAGGAGGCAGUCCGAUGUAUUCAGUUGGUACAUGGAUUUGCUCUGGAUGGUAAACCAUUGAGGGCAUGCUUUGGGACCACAAAAUACUGUCAUGCAUGGCUGAGAAAUAUGCCUUGCAGCAACCCAGAUUGUCUGUAUUUGCAUGACAUUGGCUCACAAGACGAUAGUUUUACGAAGGAUGAAGUCAUAUCUGAACACACAAGGAGUAGAAUCCAACAAGUCACCAGUUCCUCAAUUAGUAUCCAACGGCGUUCAGGAAACGUAUUACCUCCUCCAGGAGAUGAUUACUGCAAUAAUAACAGCUCGACGUCUUCGGUGAAGCCUCUUGCUAAAACUGCUAUUAAUACAAAUAAUUCAGUAACGAGUUCUAGAAAUUCUCCACCAAGUAGUAGCUCAGGGAUAUCUGCUGCUCUACCAGCUGGAGCAUCAUGGGGUGUACGUCCAUCUGGUAAUCAACCUUUGCUGACAAGCACAUCGAGUUCCAGCAGACCAUCUAAUCAGAAAAAUGACAUGUGUAAUGGUCCAGCAGCAUUUUCUAAAUCAGCCCCAAGUCAAGUUUCUUCGCUUCAUAAUGACACUGGGAAGAAAAGGGUGCCCAACGAAGGAAGCACCAUUUCUCUUGAGAAAAAUAAAACAGAAACUUCUGGGCCAGUUAAAAAGGAAGCAAAUACCGAUGGAAGUAUUGUUUCUGACACUUCCUCGACACCUGCAUACAUCACCAGUGUGCCCUUGAGCAGCCAGCUUCAUAGCCCACCUAGAACGAGAUCACUUCUAAAUACUUCUAAUAUAGUUGAUUCUUCUGCUUCAUCUAACGGACUUGUAUCAGAUAAAGAUCUGAAGGACUACAUAGACAAUAACAUGGAGAAUGUGUGCUCUGAUGUAUUAUCAUUGAGCAUUCAAGAAAAUCAACAUUCACAAAACAACAAUGUUGAGAAAAUUAGAGAAUCAUCAGUUUGUGAGACUUCUGGAGAAGAUAAGAGUACCACUGAUGUGGUACACAUUGCAAAUGUCCAGUCUGAUUCUAGAUUGGGAAGGCCUGAUGAAGAAACUAAAAUCGACUUGCCUGAACUGGACAAUGAUUUGUUAUCUUUUCAUAGCCAGAGGAUUAAGGAUCCUGAGAUUGCUUCGAGUAGAACACCAGAGUUUUUUGAUGCACUUAAUCUAAAGCGUUCUGAUUUUAUUUCUCCUGCAUUUGACAAUGCUAAUGGUUUAACUGGUAUUGGUUUUAAUAGCCAGGCUGUACAUAGAAGUGGUAACUUGAUGGUAUCAAGUUCUAAUUCUCCAAGUGUGUAUCUGGAGAAUACAUUCAGUAAUGGUGCUGAAAAUUCCAAUUUGUCUCUGAGAAAAGAGAAAAUGUCUCAGCUUGCGAGAUAUGAAACUGAAGUAGGCAGUGGUGUGCCUGCUAUUGAUACAGGGGAGAGCAGCAUCAUAUCAAAUAUUUUGUCACUGGACUUUGACUCAUGGGAUGAGUCUGUAAGUUCACCUCAGAACCUGGCUAAGUUGAUAGGUGAAACUGACAGACGGCAGGGGUCUUUUGGAGCACCAGGUUCCUGGAAAACUCAGAAUAGCAGUCAAUCAAGAUUCUCAUUUGCUAGAGAGGAGGAAGCUAUGAGCCAUUUUCCUGAACAAUCUAUUGAUUACCAUGAACAAGCCUUGAAGCAGCAUCUUUUUGGCCAUAAUUUCGCAGGCAGCAACAGAUUCAAUGUUGAGAAGUUUGUUAGUACAAAUGGUUUACCUUUUUCCAGUGGCACAGAGCAGGAUUAUUUUGCUAACAACGUUUCUCAUUAUUCUUCCAACAAGCUUCCUAUUUCAAGGCCUCAUGUAUCUGCGCCUCCAGGAUUUUCGGCUCCUAGUAGGGCAGCAGCACCUCCAGGCUUUACUUCUCAUGCACGGACAGAGCAAUUUUUUGAAUCACACUCUGGUCAUGCGGUUGAGGCUACCUCUUUAUUAAGAAAUCAGUAUCAAACACCCCCAAGUGGUGAUACUUAUUCUAAUGGUGAUAUAGAAUUUAUGGAUCCUGCUAUUUUGGCUGUUGGCAAAGGGACAUUUGCAAGUGGCAUCGACAAUAUGGGCCUAGACAUAAGAUCCAAUUUUUCUCCACAGUUCAAUGCAUAUGAUGAGGCCAGAUUCCAAUCAAUUUUACAAAGAUCUUUUCCUCCACAUCACAACCAAAGAUUUAGUGACCUUGGCGACAAUCUUUCAACCCUUGGUGAUACUCAUGGAAUUCCAUCUAGGGUUGCCGAGCAGACACUAACCAAUAAUCACUCUCCAUUUUCUCAAUUCAACCUUCAGCAGUAUAGAAAUGGAGCAACUUCUAAUGGUCAAUGGGAUGGGUGGAAUGAAUCCCAGAGUAUGAAUAAUUUGAGUAUAGAUGAACUGCUCAGAGCCGAGAGGUUGAGACUUAGCAGCAAUUUGUACGGUGGCUAUGAAGAAUCCAAGAUGAGGAUGCCAGGUUCUGGCAAUAUAUACAAUGGAGCUUAUGGGAUUUGAUUUGAAGAUUAUUAUAUCAUUGGUGAAAUAUAUGAUCAUAUCCGACCUUGAUGCCUGAAGUUCUCCUUUUGAAUGUGGUGCCUAUGAAACUCACAACAGUUUACUCUGACAUGAUCACUCUGUCUCCGCUACUUUCAGGUUGGUGGAGGAUCAAAUCUUCUCAUAUGGAGUCCAGAAGCCAGCAGGUGAGAGUUCUCUGAGACUGAAGCUCAAUGCGAGUGCUGCUAGGCCUAUGUUAUCCAUGGGAAUCCCAGCGACGUCCGGGUCUUGAGUUUCAUCUCAGCCAGAGAGACUAUGGGAGCAUAGUCAGAGAGGCGGGAGAGAGUAAGAAGCAUGAUUGUUCAAGAUGGUAUCUGAACUUUGUCGCAUAUUUGUUUGAACAUAGAAAGAGGUAGGAGAAUGAAAAUGAGAUGUGGUUUAGGUGACUUCUGCGAAACUGUGAUUAUGAAAUGCAUCUCUUAACAACUGUAUAAGGUCAUCCACAGUCCAGACUAUAUUUUUAUAGCCACAAUAGUAUUCCAUUCA